UGGCAGGAGGUCUGAGGUUUGAGUGUUGGCGUUGUAUAGGGGGCUUUUAUUUUGCAGCUAGGGUGGCUAGAGUUUGUGUUGUAGUAGAAGUGUGAGGGUUGAAGAGUUGAUUUGGUCAUGGAGAUAUUGUGGGAGUAAGUUGUGGAGAAGAUUAUGGAGAGAUUGGUUGAGUGAAUCAAGGAAGUUGGAGUAUGGGGGAGUGUGUGUGCCGUUUGGGGAAUCUUGGUUUUGAAAUUCGGCUAAGGGGGUGUUUGGGGUAAUGCAUUUCGGUUUUGGUCAGUGUAGGUGC
rnacentral:lncRNA from 1 species